rnacentral:snoRNA from 1 species
CCCCAAUGUUCUUUGUCAGGAUUUGUUCCCUUAUGUACCAUGGAACCUGUCUGUUAUAACGUUGGGAGAAUAACUGCCUGUCUCGACUGUCGGCAACGUUUUGUUGUUAGGCUGAUGUGUGCCGUUUUGGUUACCAUCAUGAGACAGGCCAAGUGUCCGAUUGAGUUGAAGUCUGCCUAUGCCGUUAACCAAUUACGGGGCAUUGAUUGCAUACUUCUUAGUGAUGACACAAACAUAU